UACGAAGGGGGCUAGCGUUGCUCGGAAUCACUGGGCGUAAAGCGCACGUAGGCGGACUGUUAAGUCGGGUGUGAAAUCCCUCAGCUUAACUGAGGAAGUGCGCCCGAAACUGCCGAGCUUGAGUACCGGAGAGGGUGGCGGAAUUCCCCAAGUAGAGGUGAAAUUCGUAGAUAUGGGGAGGAACACCGGUGGCGAAGGCGGUUCUCUGGGCCUUACCUGACGCUGAGGAGCGAAAGCGUGGGGAGCGAACAGG
rnacentral:rRNA from 1 species